rnacentral:rRNA from 1 species
UAGUAACAGAGGUUCAGUCGCGAAAGAAAGCUCAGAUUGAACGCUGGCGGAUGCUACACAUGCAAGUCGAACGGCAGCACGGACUUUGAUCGUGGCGAGUGGCGAACAGGUGAGUAAUGUAUCGACGUGCCUAGUAGCGAGGAUAACUACGCGGCAUGUCUUCUAUACGCCUUCAGAAAAGCAGGGGACCUUCGGGCCUCGCACUAAUGAAACGGCCGAUAUCGGAUUAGCUAGUUGGUGGGGUAACGGCUCUAUACAGGCGACGAUCCGUAGCUGGUUUGAAGACGACCAAUACACGGGACUGAGACACGGCCCCAGACUCUGGAGGCAGCAGUGAAAUUUUUGGACAAUGGAAACCACGAUCCAGCCAUCCCGCGUAUGCGUCAGGCCUUCGGGUUAUAAAAGCACUUUUGGCAGGAAAGAAACGGCGCGGGAUAUGCCCCGUGCAACUGACAAUACCUGCAGAAUAGCACCGGCUAACUACAGUGCCAGCAGCCGCGGUAAUACGUAGGGUGCAAGCGUUAAUCGGAAUUACUGGGCGUAAAGCGUGCGCAGGCGGUUCGGAAAGAAGAUGUGAAAUCCCAGAGCUUAACUUUGGAACUGUUUUUAACUACGAGCUAGAGUGUGUCAGAGGAGGUGGAGAUUCCGUGUAGCAUUGAAAUGCGUAGAUAUGCGGAGGAACACCGAUGGCGAAGGCCUCCUGGGAUAACACUGACGCUCAUGCACGAAAGCGUGGGGGCAAGCAAGUUGAUCACCUGGUAGUCCACGCCCUGACGAUGUCAACUAGCUGUUCAGGCCUUCGGGCCUUGGUAACAUGCUGCGUGAAGUUGACCCGCCUGGGGAGUACGGUCGCAAGAUUAAAACUCGAGAAUUGACAGGGACCCGCACAGCGGUGGAUGUGGAUUAAUUCGAUACAACGCGAAAAACCUUACCUACCCUUGACAUGUCUGGAAUCCCGAAGAGAUUUGGGAGUGCUCGCAAGAGAACCGGAACACGAUUGCUGCAUGGCUGUCGUCAGCUCGUGUCGUGAGAUGUUGGGUUAGAAUUACAACGAGCGCAACCCUGUCAUUAGUUGCUACGAAAGGGCACUCUAAUGAGACUGCCGAGUGACAAACCGGAGGAAGGUGGGGAUGACGUCAAGUCCUCAUGGCCCCUGCUGGGUAGAGCACACGUCAUACAAUGGUCGGGACAGAGGGUCGCCAACCCGCGAGGGGGAGCCAAUCCCAGAAGCGAUCGCGAAUCAGAUCCGCAGUCUACCUCGACUGCAUGAAGUCGGAAUCGCUAGUAAUCGCGGAUCAGCAUGUCGCGGUGAAUACGUUCCAGGUCUUGUACACACCGCCCGUCACACCAUGGGAGUGGGUUUUACCAGAAGUAAGUUAGCUAACCGUAAGGAGGGCGAUUACCACGGUAGGAUUCAUGACUGGGGUGAAGUCGUAACAAGGUAA